rnacentral:lncRNA from 1 species
GUGGAGCCUGGCGACUGCUUUGGGAAGUCCUGCUGGCAGGCACUCUGCCCCUGGGGGUGUGCAAAGAGUUGUCCAGUUACCUUGAUCUUCUCACAGCCUCCUCCCCAGGGCACCAGGAGAGACCAGGAUUGGAGGACGGUAAAGAACACACUUCCCAGAGGAUUCUUGGAGGUGGCUUCCUCCAGGCAGUAAAUCUACAGCCCAGGCUCCCUGCAUCUUAUGGCUCCAAUCACUUUGGAUCUCAUCGUCGCCUGCACAUUGCCAUACACAGGGAAGGAGAAGAGAUGGAGAAGGCAAAGACUUUCUGAAAGCCGUGGCUAAAAGCUGGCAUGUGUCACAUCAGCUCACAUUCCAUUGUAGAGACGGGGUUUCACCGUGUUAGCCAGGAUGGUCUUGAUAUCCUGACCUCGUGAUCCGCCCGCCUUGGCUUCCCAAAGUGCUGGGAUUACAGGCGUGAGCCACCGCUCCCGGCCUGGCAGGCAUUCUUGAGGCAAACGGGAAAUGGGGUAAGUUACACAAUCGAUACAGCUCCGUCAUCGUGGUUUAAUUACUUUUCCACGUACCAUGUUUCCUGACAGGUAGAACGAUCAGCCUGGGCCUCCGUUUUUCAUUCUACAAAGAAUGAAGUGCAUGAACUGUCCUCUAUAGAAUUGUGGAAAAAGUUGUUUUUAUUGAGUUGUGGUUAUCUUUGUCUUCAUGGUCUAAUUACGGAAAUAAAUGCUUUUCCGAGUCUCCGGGGAUGGUCUGCCCUAGUCCAGCUCUCUGCAGUGUCUUUCUGGGUUUUUCCUCAGUGAACGGGAGGAACAUUGGCAGCACUUGUGGUCUGCACCAAGAACUGAAUCGAAUUUCCAUGUGUUAUUGAAUGUUCACAAAGACCUUGUACAGCGAGUGUUACUACCUCUGGUCAAUGAUUCAACUCAAGGCUCAGAAAAGUCAAGUGUCUUGUCCAGGGACACUUAGUCAGAAGUGAAUCCAAGGUUUAAGCUCAAGUCUGCCUAACUCUGAAUUUCACAGCCUUUUGCUACAUAUGGCGAAUAAUAUAUCCCUGAGCACUAAAGGCAGACUCCAAGGAUCUUGUCUCUGCAAUCAUCAUUCUGGCCAUAAUUUAUGAAAAGCAACCCAAAGUAUGUGAUGUAAUAAAAAGUACUAUCUAUGAGUUUACCCUUCCAAAAAUUGAACUGAAUUCUGAGCUCUAAAUUUGGAAUCAAAAGAACUUUUCUCUGCACUAAUCAUUUGGAACAUCACUUAAAGAAAACAACGAAAAACUGGUGUCCCCUGAGAGAAAGCAAUACAAAACAUUAUGCAUAAAGAAAUCCUUCCAAAAAAUAAACCAAAUCCAGUCAAAUCUCUAGUUUUGACUCCUAGCUUACCGGAAAUACGUGAUGGGAAAAAAAUGAAAUGACACCACUAUGAUUCAAUCAGCCAAAUCCAGCAUAUGCAAAUUUCUACCAGAUAAAUGGUUUAGUUUCUUCCCCAAACAAAUGGCACAAGGAAACGGAGAUGGAGUUCCCCUCUGCCACCCAGACUGGAGUACAGUGGCGCGAUCCUGGCCAUCGCAACCUCCGCCUCCCAGAUCCCUCCUACAACACAUGAGAAUUGUGGGUGCUACAAUUCAAGAUGAGAUUUGAGUGGGGACAAAGUCAAACCAUAUCAUUAGAUAGGACACUGGAGAAAGGCAAGAAAGAAAAGACAUCUGAAGAAUGAAGGGAGCCAAAGAAAUGCCAACAUUUUGCUUUUUGAAGAAAAGCUAAAUUAAAGUCAAAAUGGAUUUAUCAAUUUCCUUGGGUUCGUGAAUGUACAGAACUUUAUUAAGACUGUCAUGCUGUCAUCAUGGCUGGAUCUGAUACGGCCACCGUGGACCUUGAGGUGACCUCGGGAAUGGAGACAGUGCAUGGGAGAGAAUCACAUUGGAAGGGGCCUGGGUUUCUGAAGACCCUGUAAGACAGAUCUCCUUGCAGCCCUGACUGCCCACAUUAGGGCUUUUAUGUUAGGGUGAAGUUACCUUGCAUUGUCAUAUAAGCAAUUGCUAUUUGUGGUGUCUUGCAAAUAAACCUAUUCUGAUCUAGUAUGUUUCCUAAAAAAAAAAAAAAAA